UGGAACCGGAGGAAAUUGAAUCCCCAUCUCUCAGAUUGCAAAUCUGAUGCUCUACCCUUAAGCUACAGUUCC
rnacentral:tRNA from 1 species